AGGAAGAGCGCGCUGCGUGAUGUGUGGAGCGCCAUUUUGCUUGGUUGGCUAAUGCUUCUGCUUACGAAAGACAAAAAUUCAUUUAAGCUUGCAGAAGCACAAAAAUCUUUAUUUAAAUACAAUAUUCAUAAUGAUCUAAAUAUAAGUGUGUGUGGUUGAUUUUCAGUGUUAUCUAAGUUGUUUAUUUUAGAGGAAACAUUAAACAAUUAUACCACCAUGUCUGCUCACGAGCAAAUGAGGGCAAUGUUGGAUCAAUUAAUGGGAACAUCACGCAAUGGGGAAACUGACAAACAUGGUGUGAAGUUCUAUGAUGAUUCUGUAUGCAAAUCCUUUUUACUCCAGUGCUGCCCUCACGAAAUUUUAUCAUCAACGCGCAUGGACUUAGGUGAGUGUCCAAAAAUACAUGACUUGGCUCUCCGCGCCGACUAUGAGCUUGCCUCCAAAACCAAAGACUACUACUACGAUAUUGAUGCCACAGAACAUUUAGAGGCUUUCAUACAAGACUGUGACCGUCGAACGACGGCAGCGAAACAACGUUUAGCUGAAACACAAGAGGAGUUGUCAGCAGAGGUGACUGAAAAGGCCAAUUCUGUUCACGAAUUGGCUGAGCAGAUUGGUCAGAAGUUGGCCAGGGCUGAAGCUCUCGGAGAGGAGGGAAUGGUUGAAGAAAGUGUCAAAUUAAUGGGAGAGAUCGACGAGUUACGUAAACGCAAGGCAGUAGCGGAGCAAGAGUACCGCAAUUCGAUGCCCGCGUCGUCCUACCAACAGCAGAAGUUGCGUGUGUGCGAAGUGUGCUCCGCGUAUCUCGGUAUCCAUGACAACGACCGACGACUCGCCGACCAUUUCGGUGGCAAGUUGCAUCUGGGAUUUAUUACCAUUCGGGAGAAGCUGUCAGAGUUAAAGAAAACGGUGGAAAAGCGUCGCGAAGAUCGUGGAGCGGAGCGUGAGCGUAGUAGCGGAGGGCGAAGACAUUACGUCGGAGGGAGGGAGUUAGAUCGACGUGCGCGCAGACACAGGGAGGUGCCACGGGAGAGGAAGGAUGAGCGUGAACGCACUGAACGUGAUCGCGGAGAACGUGAGCGUGAUCGUGGGCGUGACCGCGAAAGAGAGCGAGAAAAGAAACGCUCCAGAUCUCGCAGUAAGAACAGACGCGAAUCGCGUGAGAAGUCUCGCGGUCGGGAUCGAGAGGCGCGUCGCAGUCGCUCGAAUCGCUCUAAUUCACGCGAAAGGCGGAGGGAAUAAACUAUAUAAAUAGGUCUAUUUUAACAAUUAUUUAAGUUGCUCCAUUUAGUGGUAACAGAAAUACAGUGUAAACUCUAUAUAUAGUUGCCGUUGUAGGGUACGAAAUGUUACAUUGUAAGCACAGGGUAGAACAACCAAAGUCGAGUAAAGGUUUAUGGAGUUUGACGUUGCAUAGAGUUUGCACUGUAACUGUAUAACAGAUUUAAUUUUAUUUUGUAGCUGACUUUGUAAACAAUGAUGGCAUGAAGAGCUUUAUGGUUUUUAUCACAGUGCGCAAAUACCCUAAAUAUAAAUGACAAUAUGCUUAUUUGAACAUUUUUAAACGCUUUAGUGAGAAUAAAUAUAUAACUAGUUUCAGCCAUUCUACACUAGGUAUAAGAUCUCAUAGAGUACACAAAGACAUUUAAACAUCACGCUACAAAUGGUUCAGAUAUCAAGUUUGUGCUUUAGUGGAAUAGAAUAUCACAUUGACAUCCUUUUAUUUUGCCUAAGCUAUAGAAAUGUUUAAUUUUAUGCAAAUAAGUUCAUUUCUCAGUGCUAUUACUAUGUUCUUUAUUCCCAUAUAUAUGUUCCAACUUUCACAAAUAGUUAGCUUGUACUAAAUCUUGCUUAAUUUAAAGAAAUGCGUUGAUUUAUUCGCUCUGCCAAGUUUGACAAAGUAUCAAUAAUAAGACGUGUACAGCAUAUAUUUGAAUGAUGACUUUUUAAUGCGGUUUUUGGCACAAAACAGAUGUUUUAUACUAAUAUUACACGUAUUAAGCGUUAAAAGUUUGUCAAACUAAUUAAAUAAGAUUAAGGCACUAAUUGAUAGCCAACCCAAUGACCAGGGGCAGGGGUUUCGAACUUGAAUAAAGCUAAGUUUAUUCUCUAUGAAAUAUAUUAGAAGACUGUUGAAUUGUAUUUUCAUUGCACAUUUCAAUGUGUUAGUCUUAAUUUUGGUAAAGUGAGAAAAAAAUAUUUCCGAGGAUUUACUAAAUUUAUUGUAAAACAGAGUACUGAAAAUAUUUAUUUAAUAUAAUUUGUUUCAAUAGAAAAAAUAUAAUAAAUAACUGAUCUUCUCCUCUAUUAAAAGUUAUCUUUAAACUUGUCAACUUUAUGGGUUCUUUAAUAUAUUAUUUUACUUUUGUAAAUUCUGCACUGACAUUAGUAUGCAUGUAACCAAAUCUUAUACUUUCAUUUAUGAUAUUGCCAUCACAAUUUUGUGACGCGAGGUAAGCCAGUCUGUUACUGUUAAUUAGUUUAUGAUAUCUUUGUGUUAAAAUAAAAUUAUAAAAAUA